UAAGGAAUAUUGGACAAUGGAGGCAAAUCUGAUCCAGCCAUGCCGCGUGCAGGAAGACGGCCCUAUGGGUUGUAAACUGCUUUUGUAUGGGAGCAAUAAGGACUACGUGUAGUUUGAUGAGAGUACCAUACGAAUAAGCAUCGGCUAACUCCGUGCCAGCAGCCGCGGUAAUACGGAGGAUGCGAGCGUUAUCCGGAUUUAUUGGGUUUAAAGGGUGCGUAGGCGGCGAUAUAAGUCAGUGGUGAAAUAUUUCGGCUUAACCGAGAGACUGCCAUUGAUACUGUGUUGCUAGAAUAUGGUUGCUGUGAGUGGAAUGUGUGGUGUAGCGGUGAAAUGCUUAGAUAUCACACAGAAUAUCGAUUGCGAAGGCAGCUCACAAAGCCAUUAUUGACGCUGAGGCACGAAAGUGUGGGGAUCAAACA
rnacentral:rRNA from 1 species